rnacentral:rRNA from 1 species
GACGAACGCUGGCGGCGUGCCUAAUACAUGCAAGUUGAGCGCUGAAGGUUGGUACUUGUCCCAACUGGAUGAGCAGCGAACGGGUGAGUAACGCGUGGGGAAUCUGCCUUUGGGCGGGGGACAACAUUUGGAAACGAAUGCUAAUACCGCAUAAAAACUUUAAACACAAGUUUUAAGUUUGAAAGAUGCAAUUGCAUCACUCAAAGAUGAUCCCGCGUUGUAUUAGCUAGUCGGUGAGGUAAAGGCUCACCAAGGCGUUGAUACAUAGCCGACCUGAGAGGGGGAUCGGCCACAUUGGGACUGAGACACGGCCCAAACUCCUACGGGAGGCAGCAGUAGGGAAUCUUCGGCAAUGGACGAAAGUCUGACCGAGCAACGCCGCGUGAGUGAAGAAGGUUUUCGGAUCGUAAAACUCUGUUGGUAGAGAAGAACGUUGGUGAGAGUGGAAAGCUCAUCAAGUGACGGUAACUACCCAGAAAGGGACGGCUAACUACGUG